UACGUAGGGCGCAAGCGUUAUCCGGAAUUAUUGGGCGUAAAGAGCUCGUAGGCGGUUUGUCGCGUCUGCCGUGAAAGUCCGGGGCUCAACUCCGGAUCUGCGGUGGGUACGGGCAGACUAGAGUGAUGUAGGGGAGAUUGGAAUUCCUGGUGUAGCGGUGGAAUGCGCAGAUAUCUGGAGGAAUACCGGUGGCGAAGGCGGCAUCCUGGACCGGCAUUGACGCUGAGGAGCGAAAGCCAGGGGAGCAAAGCGGG
rnacentral:rRNA from 1 species